AAAAAGACAAACCCUGAGUUUCCAUGUUCAACGUUUGACUGUUCGUCUUAUAUAAAAUUAUUUUAUAAUUAGUAUUUUUAUUGUUGUUAGAUGAUAAAACAUGAUUAAUACUUUAUACGUGACUUGUUUUUUUAAUUUUUUUUAUAUUUUUUUCAAAUAAGACGGACGGUCAAACGUUGGAUACGGAAACAUAAGUUUGUCUUUUUU
rfam:Oryza barthii chromosome 3, whole genome shotgun sequence.